UACGAAGGGUGCAAGCGUUACUCGGAAUUACUGGGCGUAAAGCGUGCGUAGGCGGUUUGUUAAGUCCGUUGUGAAAGCCCUGGGCUCAACCUGGGAAUUGCAGUGGAUACUGGCAAGCUAGAGUACGGUAGAGGAUGGUGGAAUUCCCGGUGUAGCGGUGAAAUGCGUAGAGAUCGGGAGGAACACCCGUGGCGAAGGCGGCCAUCUGGACGGUGACUGACGCUCAGACGCGAAAGCGCGGGGAGCAAACAGG
rnacentral:rRNA from 1 species